CAGCAGCAGCCGCGGGAAUACGGAGGGUGCAAGCGUUAAUCGGAAUUACUGGGCGUAAAGCGCACGCAGGCGGUCUGACAAGUCAGAUGUGAAAUCCCCGGGCUUAACCUGGGAACUGCAUUUGAAACUGUCAGGCUGGAGUCUUGUAGAGGGGGGUAGAAUUCCAGGUGUAGCGGUGAAAUGCGUAGAGAUCUGGAGGAAUACCGGUGGCGAAGGCGGCCCCCUGGACAAAGACUGACGCUCAGGUGCGAAAGCGUGGGGAGCAAACAGGAUUAGAUACCCCUGUAGUCCCUGUCUCUUAUAC
rnacentral:rRNA from 1 species